rnacentral:rRNA from 2 species
CACGGUUUCCGCGCCGCAGCUAACGCAUUAAGUGCCCCGCCUGGGGAGUACGGCCGCAAGGCUAAAACUCAAAGGAAUUGACGGGGGCCCGCACAAGCGGCGGAGCAUGCGGAUUAAUUCGAUGCAACGCGAAGAACCUUACCAAGGCUUGACAUGUUCUCGAUCGCCGUAGAGAUACGGUUUCCCCUUUGGGGCGGGUUCACAGGUGGUGCAUGGUUGUCGUCAGCUCGUGUCGUGAGAUGUUGGGUUAAGUCCCGCAACGAGCGCAACCCUCGUUCCAUGUUGCCAGCACGUAAUGGUGGGGACUCAUGGGAGACUGCCGGGGUCAACUCGGAGGAAGGUGAGGACGACGUCAAAUCAUCAUGCCCCUUAUGUCUUGGGCUUCACGCAUGCUACAAUGGCCGGUACAAUGGGUUGCGAUACUGUGAGGUGGAGCUAAUCCCAAAAAGCCGGUCUCAGUUCGGAUUGGGGUCUGCAACUCGACCCCAUGAAGUCGGAGUCGCUAGUAAUCGCAGAUCAGCAACGCUGCGGUGAAUACGUUCCCGGGCCUUGUACACACCGCCCGUCAAGUCACGAAAGUCGGUAACAC